UGCAGGGUUCGCCGACAGGGACC
rnacentral:misc_RNA from 1 species